rnacentral:rRNA from 1 species
CCUACGGGAGGCUGCAGUGGGGAAUAUUGGGCAAUGGGCGCAAGCCUGACCCAGCAACGCCGCGUGAGGGAAGAAGGCUUUCGGGUUGUAAACUUCUUUUCUCAGGGACGAAGCAAAUGACGGUACCUGAGGAAUCAGCCACUGCUAACUACGCGCCAGCAGCCGCGGUAAUACGGAGGUGGCAAGCGUUAGCCGGAUUUACUGGGAGUAAGGGGCGUGUAGGCGGGACUGCAAGUCAGAUGUGAAAGCCAUGGGCGCAACCUCUGGCCUGCAUUUGAAACUGUAGUGCUUGAGUACUGGAGGGGCAGACGGAAUUCCUAGUGUAGCGGUGAAAUGCGUAGAUAUUAGGAGGAACACCAGUGGCGAAGGCGGCCUGCUGGACAGUAACUGACGCUGAGGCGCGAAAGCGUGGGGAGCAAACAGGAUUAGAUACCCGAGUAGUC